rnacentral:tRNA from 1 species
GGCCGAGUGGCGGAAUGGCAGACGCUGGGGACUUAAAAUCCCCUGCCCGUUAGGGUGUGUGGGUUCGACUCCCACCUCGGCUA